rnacentral:rRNA from 1 species
AUUGAACGCUGGCGGCAGGCCUAACACAAGCAAGUCGAGCGGAUGAAGGGAGCUUGCUCCUGGAUUCAGCGGCGGACGGGUGAGUAAUGCCUAGGAAUCUGCCUGGUAGUGGGGGAUAACGUCCGGAAACGGGCGCUAAUACCGCAUACGUCCUGAGGGAGGAAGUGGGGGAUCUUCGGACCUCACGCUAUCAGAUGAGCCUAGGUCGGAUUAGCUAGUUGGUGGGGUAAAGGCCUACCAAGGCGACGAUCCGUAACUGGUCUGAGAGGAUGAUCAGUCACACUGGAACUGAGACACGGUCCAGACUCCUACGGGAGGCAGCAGUGGGGAAUAUUGGACAAUGGGCGAAAGCCUGAUCCAGCCAUGCCGCGUGUGUGAAGAAGGUCUUCGGAUUGUAAAGCACUUUAAGUUGGGAGGAAGGGCAGUAAGUUAAUACCUUGCUGUUUUGACGUUACCAACAGAAUAAGCACCGGCUAACUUCGUG